GCAUGGUUGUCGUCAGCUCGUGUCGUGAGAUGUUGGUUAAGUCCCGCAACGAGCGCAACCCUUAUUGUUAGUUGCCAUCAUUAAGUUGGGCACUCUAACGAGACUGCCGGUGACAAACCGGAGGAAGGUGGGGAUGACGUCAAAUCAUCAUGCCCUUUAUGUCCUGGGCUACACACGUGCUACAAUGGCCAGAACAGAGGGUUGCUAAGGGGCAACCUGGAGCUAAUCCCUUAAAACUGGUCUCAGUUCGGAUUGCAGGCUGAAAUUCGCCUGCAUGAAGUCGGGAUCGCUAGUAAUCGCGGAUCAGCAUGCCGCGGUGAAUACGUUCCCGGGCCUU
rnacentral:rRNA from 1 species